GUGUGCUCUCUUAUCGCUCUCGCGGUUCUUUGAUGUCAUACAGCGCUGCUUCAAGUCGAACACGCGCCUAUUUUUUUCCUCUGAGAGUUUUCGAGAGAAGCCAGCGGAAACUGGAUUUUCCAUGUUGGACCACACGUGUCUCAGAAGAAAUAGAGUGAUACAGAGUUCAGUCAAGUUGAUAAAAGCUGUUCGUUCACCAACUGGACCAAAUCGGAUUUUUACCUCACCUUUUUACCGUCACUUCAGAGCGCCAGAUAUAGCCGACUGACAAUGAGAUCAAUGUUGUUCAGAGUGUCAAGUUGGGCAUCUUGUCAAUCAGCGAGGACACCAGACAAGAUUGUGCCUUCCCAGACGACUUUGUGAAUAUGGCUGUGAUACUGGAAGGGGAAAUUUUCAUUGUGUAUCUCCAAGACAUUCCAAAUGCCUUCGUCACAUUGUUUGGACUGCUUUACGCUUUAAACAUCAACUAUCCCAAAGAGCUGCGAUACACCUUUGAUGUGAUCCAGUGGAUCUUCAUGAACAUUGAUGGGGAAAGCUGCUCCGCAAAAGUUCAUGGACUAAAAACAAACUAAUGCGGUGAAGUGCCUGCAACCAUUGCUAUUUCCUUUUUUUUUUUUUUUUUUUUUUUUUAUAAGUUUAAUUGAUGAAUUUGUUAAAGGAUCAGCUAAGUUGAGAUUAAAGUGGUUUGAAACCAAUUCAUACGUCUUUUAAUGUCUUAAUGCUUUUCAGAGUUUCUUUUUGAAAGGAAUGUUGUGAACAGGAUGUUUCUAUAUGUAUCUAUAUGGGAAUGGCAUUUUAAAGUGUUUAGCUUAAUUGAUGAAUUUGUUGAGGCUUGAGAGCAUAAAUAAUUGAUAACUUGGUUUAUAUUAAAAUGGCAUUUAAGCCAAU